rnacentral:rRNA from 1 species
CGCGUAGGCGGUCUCUUAAGUUAGAUGUGAAAGCCCGGGGCUCAACCCCGGAAGUGCAUUUGAAACUAAGGGACUUGAGUAUGGGAGAGGGAAGUGGAAUUCCUGGUGUAGCGGUGAAAUGCGUAGAUAUCAGGAGGAACACCGGUGGCGAUGGCGACUUCCUGGACCAAUACUGACGCUGAGGCGCGAAGGCGUGGGGAGCAAACA